rnacentral:rRNA from 1 species
AAGAUGGCGACCGGCGCACGGGUGAGUAACACGUAUCCAACCUGCCGAUAACUCGGGGAUAGCCUUUCGAAAGAAAGAUUAAUACCCGAUAGCAUAAUGAUUCCGCAUGGUUUCAUUAUUAAAGGAUUCCGGUAAAGGAUGGGGAUGCGUUCCAUUAGGUUGUUGGUGAGGUAACGGCUCACCAAGCCUUCGAUGGAUAGGGGUUCUGAGAGGAAGGUCCCCCACGUUGGAACUGAGACACGGUCCAA